UGGGGAAUAUUGGACAAUGGACCAAGAGUCUGAUCCAGCAAUUCUGUGUGCACGAUGAAGUUUUUCGGAAUGUAAAGUGCUUUCAGUUGGGAAGAAAAAAAUGACGGUACCAACAGAAGAAGUGACGGCUAAAUACGUGCCAGCAGCCGCGGUAAUACGUAUGUCACGAGCGUUAUCCGGAUUUAUUGGGCGUAUAAAGCGCGUCUAGGUGGUUAUGUAAGUCUGAUGUGAAAAUGCAGGGCUCAACUCUGUAUUGCGUUGGAAACUGUAUAACUAGAGUACUGGAGAGGUAAGCGGAACUACAAGUGUAGAGGUGAAAUUCGUAGAUAUUUGUAGGAAUGCCGAUGGGGAAGCCAGCUUACUGGACAGAUACUGACGCUGAAGCGCGAAAGCGUGGGUAGCAAACAGGAUUAGAUACCCUGGNNNAUCCCACCCCCNAAAAAAAUGAUUACUAGGUGUUGGGGGUCGAACCUCAGCGCCCAAGCAAACGCGAUAAGUAAUCCGCCUGGGGAGUACGUACGCAAGUAUG
rnacentral:rRNA from 1 species